rnacentral:lncRNA from 1 species
UCGACCUGAUCAAAGGUCUAUCAUGGUCCCGGCUCUCCCACUCAAAGGCAGCCAGUUCAUGGUCCUGUCUGGUCUACAUAUCUGCAAAAAAUCAUAAGCUGGGCUAAGAUGUCACAGGGAAAAACUGAGGCUGGAAGGAAAAGAAAGAAGCCCCAGAAUGGAAGCUGGAAGCUGAGCUGCGACAAAGAGCACUCUUCAUGGGACUGAUGUGUAUUAUGAAGUUUUCCAUUUCUGAUCAAAGGCCCAGCUUUCUGCUGAAGACAGAAACUCAAGAGGGUCCCAAGCCAGUGAGUCAGCAAUGCAGUCACAUUCACAUCCCCAGGAGUCAGGUUGCAAGAGACUAAAUGUGUAACUUCUAUAAUAAAAGGCAGAAGCAG